UCAUUUGCUACAGAGCACUGAGCAAGAAGGUCAGCUCGUGCCGAGCACACAACUUGCUCCUUUCAUGCUCACUCAGCCAGAAAUGAAAAUGUUAGAGUUAGAAGCACCCGUGGAAAUCACUCCUCAUGGAAGAGAAGAGGAAAUCCAAGCCCCAAGACCUUCAGCAAGUAGCUCAAGCUCACAGAGCUGGCUACAGUCACGUCAGGAGACUUGGCCUCUGAAAACAGAGCUCUCUGUAUGGCACUUUAAGUAGGGGACUCUCUCUGCCUUGUGUAGGCACAACAUGUAACGUGCUUUGAGAUGUAACAGUAAAAGAGGGCACUGAGACAUUAUGUUCAUCAAAAGGGAGUCUGGCUUAAAUAAAAAGAUUGGGAAAUAACCGUUCUGGAAUUCACAGCGUAUCACAGCUUUGGAAAUCAUCUGGUCCAACAUCCCAUGUAAAUUAAAGAUAAGGAAACUUCCA